CCGACUUCAAUUACAUCGACGAAUAAUACAACGUAGAUCGACGAAAAAAUAGUCGAGUAACUACGCGUUAUCAAAGAUUACUCAAAAAGUAGUUAUCAGAUCUCGAUAAAAUUUAUAUGUACACCCAGUAAAAAGUUAUUGCGGAUUUUCGAGAGUUUCCCUCGAUUUGUCUGGGAUCCCAUCAUCAGAUCCUGGUUUCCUUAUC
rnacentral:misc_RNA from 1 species